UUCCGGUUGAUCCUGCCAGAGGUCACUGCUAUCGGUGUCCGAUUAAGCCAUGCGAGUCGAGAGGUGUAAGACCUCGGCAGACUGCUCAGUAACACGUGGAUAACCUGCCCAAGGGUCCGGGAUAACCCCGGGAAACUGGGGAUAAUACCGGAUGGGUCACCAGUGCUGGAAUGCUUGGUGGUCGAAAGGUGACGCCUUUGGAUGGGUCUGCGGCGGAUUAGGUUGACGCCGGUGUAACGUACCGGCGUGCCUGUAAUCCGUACGGGUUGUGGGAGCAAGAGCCCGGAGAUGGAUUCUGAGACACGAAUCCAGGCCCUACGGGGCGCAGCAGGCGCGAAAACUCUACAAUGCAGGCAACUGCGAUAGGGGGACAUCGAGUGGCAUCCACCUUGGGUGUCUGUCCAACCGUCUAAAAAACGGUUGUUAGCAAGGGCCGGGCAAGACCGGUGCCAGCCGCCGCGGUAAUACCGGCGGCUCGAGUGGUGGCCGAUAUUAUUGAGUCUAAAGGGUCCGUAGCCGGCUUUGCAAGUCCCCUGGGAAAUCCGGCGGCUUAACCGUUGGGCUUUCAUGGGAUACUACAUUGCUUGGGACUGGGAGAGGUAGGAGGUACUCGGGGGGCAGGGGUGAAAUCCUGUAAUCCUCCGGGGACCACCGGUGGCGAAGGCGUCCUACCAGAACAGGUCCGACGGUGAGGGACGAAAGCUAGGGGCACGAACCGGAUUAGAUACCCGGGUAGUCCUAGCCGUAAACGAUGCCCGCUAGGUGUCACGACGGUCGUGAAUCGUCGUGGUGCCGUAGGGAAGCCGCGAAGCGGGCCACUUGGGAAGUACGGCCGCAAGGCUGAAACUUAAAGGAAUUGGCGGG
rnacentral:rRNA from 1 species